GCCUGGUAAGGGCAAAGUCCCGAGUUCAAUUCUUGGCAACAAACAUCUCCAGUACUGAAAGAAAAAAAAACCCUUAAAUGUACGUUAUGACUGAGGGCCGCCACACUGACAAGCUCUUCUUCAAAGUGAAGCUGACCAUGAAAGGGAAACCUGUGGAAUCAAUUCAGGACAUCAAUGCAGCCAGGACAGCGCAGCUAGAGACACCCAGGAAAGAGGACUCCAGAGCUGCUGCAGAGUGCCGAGGAUGAUGGGAUCACUGUUUUCAAAGUGAGGGAGAUCUGGGAGAGGUUAAUGGUAAUGUGUGUUUUACUGUAAUAAAUUUUUAAAAACAAA